GGUUAAGCGACUAAGCGUACACGGUGGAUGCCCUGGCAGUCAGAGGCGAUGAAGGACGUGCUAAUCUGCGAUAAGCGUCGGUAAGGUGAUAUGAACCGUUAUAACCGGCGAUUUCCGAAUGGGGAAACCCAGUGUGAUUCGUCACACUAUCAUUAACUGAAUCCAUAGGUUAAUGAGGCGAACCGGGGGAACUGAAACAUCUAAGUACCCCGAGGAAAAGAAAUCAACCGAGAUUCCCCCAGUAGCGGCGAGCGAACGGGGAGCAGCCCAGAGCCUGAAUCAGUGUGUGUGUUAGUGGAAGCGUCUGGAAAGGCGCGCGAUACAGGGUGACAGCCCCGUACACAAAAAUGCACAUGCUGUGAGCUCGAUGAGUAGGGCGGGACACGUGGUAUCCUGUCUGAAUAUGGGGGGACCAUCCUCCAAGGCUAAAUACUCCUGACUGACCGAUAGUGAACCAGUACCGUGAGGGAAAGGCGAAAAGAACCCCGGCGAGGGGAGUGAAAAAGAACCUGAAACCGUGUACGUACAAGCAGUGGGAGCACGCUUAGGCGUGUGACUGCGUACCUUUUGUAUAAUGGGUCAGCGACUUAUAUUCUGUAGCAAGGUUAACCGAAUAGGGGAGCCGAAGGGAAACCGAGUCUUAACUGGGCGUUAAGUUGCAGGGUAUAGACCCGAAACCCGGUGAUCUAGCCAUGGGCAGGUUGAAGGUUGGGUAACACUAACUGGAGGACCGAACCGACUAAUGUUGAAAAAUUAGCGGAUGACUUGUGGCUGGGGGUGAAAGGCCAAUCAAACCGGGAGAUAGCUGGUUCUCCCCGAAAGCUAUUUAGGUAGCGCCUCGUGAAUUCAUCUCCGGGGGUAGAGCACUGUUUCGGCAAGGGGGUCAUCCCGACUUACCAACCCGAUGCAAACUGCGAAUACCGGAGAAUGUUAUCACGGGAGACACACGGCGGGUGCUAACGUCCGUCGUGAAGAGGGAAACAACCCAGACCGCCAGCUAAGGUCCCAAAGUCAUGGUUAAGUGGGAAACGAUGUGGGAAGGCCCAGACAGCCAGGAUGUUGGCUUAGAAGCAGCCAUCAUUUAAAGAAAGCGUAAUAGCUCACUGGUCGAGUCGGCCUGCGCGGAAGAUGUAACGGGGCUAAACCAUGCACCGAAGCUGCGGCAGCGACGCUUAUGCGUUGUUGGGUAGGGGAGCGUUCUGUAAGCCUGCGAAGGUGUGCUGUGAGGCAUGCUGGAGGUAUCAGAAGUGCGAAUGCUGACAUAAGUAACGAUAAAGCGGGUGAAAAGCCCGCUCGCCGGAAGACCAAGGGUUCCUGUCCAACGUUAAUCGGGGCAGGGUGAGUCGACCCCUAAGGCGAGGCCGAAAGGCGUAGUCGAUGGGAAACAGGUUAAUAUUCCUGUACUUGGUGUUACUGCGAAGGGGGGACGGAGAAGGCUAUGUUGGCCGGGCGACGGUUGUCCCGGUUUAAGCGUGUAGGCUGGUUUUCCAGGCAAAUCCGGAAAAUCAAGGCUGAGGCGUGAUGACGAGGCACUACGGUGCUGAAGCAACAAAUGCCCUGCUUCCAGGAAAAGCCUCUAAGCAUCAGGUAACAUCAAAUCGUACCCCAAACCGACACAGGUGGUCAGGUAGAGAAUACCAAGGCGCUUGAGAGAACUCGGGUGAAGGAACUAGGCAAAAUGGUGCCGUAACUUCGGGAGAAGGCACGCUGAUAUGUAGGUGAGGUCCCUCGCGGAUGGAGCUGAAAUCAGUCGAAGAUACCAGCUGGCUGCAACUGUUUAUUAAAAACACAGCACUGUGCAAACACGAAAGUGGACGUAUACGGUGUGACGCCUGCCCGGUGCCGGAAGGUUAAUUGAUGGGGUUAGCGCAAGCGAAGCUCUUGAUCGAAGCCCCGGUAAACGGCGGCCGUAACUAUAACGGUCCUAAGGUAGCGAAAUUCCUUGUCGGGUAAGUUCCGACCUGCACGAAUGGCGUAAUGAUGGCCAGGCUGUCUCCACCCGAGACUCAGUGAAAUUGAACUCGCUGUGAAGAUGCAGUGUACCCGCGGCAAGACGGAAAGACCCCGUGAACCUUUACUAUAGCUUGACACUGAACAUUGAGCCUUGAUGUGUAGGAUAGGUGGGAGGCUUUGAAGUGUGGACGCCAGUCUGCAUGGAGCCGACCUUGAAAUACCACCCUUUAAUGUUUGAUGUUCUAACGUUGACCCGUAAUCCGGGUUGCGGACAGUGUCUGGUGGGUAGUUUGACUGGGGCGGUCUCCUCCUAAAGAGUAACGGAGGAGCACGAAGGUUGGCUAAUCCUGGUCGGACAUCAGGAGGUUAGUGCAAUGGCAUAAGCCAGCUUGACUGCGAGCGUGACGGCGCGAGCAGGUGCGAAAGCAGGUCAUAGUGAUCCGGUGGUUCUGAAUGGAAGGGCCAUCGCUCAACGGAUAAAAGGUACUCCGGGGAUAACAGGCUGAUACCGCCCAAGAGUUCAUAUCGACGGCGGUGUUUGGCACCUCGAUGUCGGCUCAUCACAUCCUGGGGCUGAAGUAGGUCCCAAGGGUAUGGCUGUUCGCCAUUUAAAGUGGUACGCGAGCUGGGUUUAGAACGUCGUGAGACAGUUCGGUCCCUAUCUGCCGUGGGCGCUGGAGAACUGAGGGGGGCUGCUCCUAGUACGAGAGGACCGGAGUGGACGCAUCACUGGUGUUCGGGUUGUCAUGCCAAUGGCACUGCCCGGUAGCUAAAUGCGGAAGAGAUAAGUGCUGAAAGCAUCUAAGCACGAAACUUGCCCCGAGAUGAGUUCUCCCUGACUCCUUGAGAGUCCUGAAGGAACGUUGAAGACGACGACGUUGAUAGGCCGGGUGUGUAAGCGCAGCGAUGCGUUGAGCUAACCGGUACUAAUGAACCGUGAGGCUUAACCUU
rnacentral:rRNA from 1 species